rnacentral:rRNA from 1 species
UACGGAGGGAGCUAGCGUUGUUCGGAAUUACUGGGCGUAAAGCGCACGUAGGCGGCGAUUCAAGUCAGAGGUGAAAGCCCGGGGCUCAACCCCGGAACUGCCUUUGAAACUAGAUUGCUAGAAUCUUGGAGAGGUCAGUGGAAUUCCGAGUGUAGAGGUGAAAUUCGUAGAUAUUCGGAAGAACACCAGUGGCGAAGGCGACUGACUGGACAAGUAUUGACGCUGAGGUGCGAAAGCGUGGGGAGCAAACAGGAUUAAGAA